rnacentral:rRNA from 1 species
GUGAACGCUGGCGGUAGGCCUAACACAUGCAAGUCGAACGGCAGCACAGUAAGAGCUUGCUCUUACGGGUGGCGAGUGGCGGACGGGUGAGGAAUACAUCGGAAUCUACUUUUUCGUGGGGGAUAACGUAGGGAAACUUACGCUAAUACCGCAUACGACCUACGGGUGAAAGCAGGGGAUCUUCGGACCUUGCGCGAUUGCAUGAGCCGAUGUCGGAUUAGCUAGUUGGCGGGGUAAAGGCCCACCAAGGCGACGAUCCGUAGCUGGUCUGAGAGGAUGAUCAGCCACACUGGAACUGAGACACGGUCCAGACUCCUACGGGAGGCAGCAGUGGGGAAUAUUGGACAAUGGGCGCAAGCCUGAUCCAGCCAUACCGCGUGGGUGAAGAAGGCCUUCGGGUUGUAAAGCCCUUUUGUUGGGAAAGAAAAGCAGCAGGUUAAUACCCCGCUGUUCUGACGGUACCCAAAGAAUAAGCACCGGCUAACUUCGUG